GAUGAACGCUGGCGGCGUGCCUAAUACAUGCAAGUCGAGCGAACGGACGAGAAGCUUGCUUCUCUGAUGUUAGCGGCGGACGGGUGAGUAACACGUGGAUAACCUACCUAUAAGACUGGGAUAACUUCGGGAAACCGGAGCUAAUACCGGAUAAUAUAUUGAACCGCAUGGUUCAAAAGUGAAAGACGGUUUUGCUGUUACUUAUAGAUGGAUCCGCGCUGCAUUAGCUAGUUGGUAAGGUAACGGCUUACCAAGGCAACGAUGCGUAGCCGACCUGAGAGGGUGAUCGGCCACACUGGAACUGAGACACGGUCCAGACUCCUACGGGAGGCAGCAGUAGGGAAUCUUCCGCAAUGGGCGAAAGCCUGACGGAGCAACGCCGCGUGAGUGAUGAAGGUCUUCGGAUCGUAAAACUCUGUUAUUAGGGAAGAACAUAUGUGUAAGUAACUGUGCACAUCUUGACGGUACCUAAUCAGAAAGCCACGGCUAACUACGUG
rnacentral:rRNA from 1 species